rnacentral:snRNA from 1 species
AGCUUUGCGCAGUGGCAGUAUCAUAGCCAAUGGGGUUUAUCCGAGGUGCGAUUAUUGCUAAUUGAAAACUUUUCCCAAUUUAAAAAAAAAUUUCAGCCAUCCUACCUCUAAUUGUCAGAAAUGUUGGCUCUCUGGCACAAAAAUGUUUG